UUAAAGGCACGCCUGCCCAGUGAACAAUUAAACGGCCGCGGUACACUAACCGUGCAAAGGUAGCAUAAUAAUUUGUCUACUAAUUAUAGACCUGCAUGAAAGGCAAAAUGAGGGUUUAACUGUCUCUUAUAGUAAAUCAAUUAAACUGAUCUUCUAGUAAAAAAGCUAGAAUUACAACAUAAGACCAGAAGACCCUGUGAAGCUUAAACUAAACUAUUAAACCUAAUAAUAACUACUUUAGGUUGGGGCGACCUUGGAAAAAAGAAUAACUUCCAAAAUACAUAUACAAACAGGCCUACAAGCCAAUAAACGACCCAGCAACGCUGAAAAUUGAACCAAGUUACUCCAGGGAUAACAGCGCAAUCUUCUUCAAGAGCCCAUAUCAAAAAGAAGGUUUACGACCUCGAUGUUGGAUCAGGACAUCCUAAUGGUGCAGAAGCUAUUAAGGGUUCGUUUGUUCAACGAUUAAUGUCCUACGUGAUCUGAGUUC
rnacentral:rRNA from 1 species